UGGGGAAUAUUGCACAAUGGGCGCAAGCCUGAUGCAGCGACGCCGCGUGAGGGAUGACGGCCUUCGGGUUGUAAACCUCUUUCAGUAGGGAACAAGGCCCCUUGGGGUUGAGGGUACCUGCAGAAGAAGCGCCGGCUAACUACGUGCCAGCAGCCGCGGUAAUACGUAGGGCGCAAGCGUUGUCCGGAAUUAUUGGGCGUAAAGAGCUCGUAGGCGGUUUGUCGCGUCUGCUGUGAAAACGCGGGGCUUAACCCCGCGCCUGCAGUGGGUACGGGCAGACUAGAGUGCGGUAGGGGAGACUGGAAUUCCUGGUGUAGCGGUGGAAUGCGCAGAUAUCAGGAGGAACACCGGUGGCGAAGGCGGGUCUCUGGGCCGUUACUGACGCUGAGGAGCGAAAGCAUGGGGAGCGAACAG
rnacentral:rRNA from 1 species